GACGAACGCUGGCGGCGUGCCUAAUACAUGCAAGUAGGACGCAGUUGCGAACGGGAGAGUAAUGCGUAGGUAACUACCUAUUAGAGGGGGAUAACUAUCGGAAACGAUAGCUAAAACCGCAUACUAGUAGAUGGACCUGCGUUGUAUUAGGUAGUAGGUAGGGUAAUGGCCUACCUAGGCAACGCUACAUAGCCGACCUGAGGAGGUUGUCGGCCACACUGGGACUGAGACACGGCCCAGACUCCUACGGGAGGCAGCAGUAGGGAAUCUUCGGCAAUGGGGGGAACCCUGACCGAGCAACGCCGCGGGAGUGAAGAAGGUUUUCGGAUCGGAAAGCUCUGUUGUUAAGGAAGCGGUACUUAACCAGAAAGGGACGGCUAACUACGUGCCAGCAGCCGCGGUAAUAC
rnacentral:rRNA from 1 species